rnacentral:rRNA from 1 species
AUGGCGGACCUCCGCCCAACCGUGACCCGGAUGGAACACCGGGUCGAGCCCUGGAAGGGACGGUGGCUCUCGAAGGCGGCGAGGUCCAGGUUUUUUUGGGCUGAUGAGCGGGACGAGCAGAAGUACCAUAUGGUGAGCUGGCUUGACAUUUGCAAACCUAAGGACCAAGGAGGUCUGGGGAUCCUGUCUACUCGGCGCAUGAACAUUGCUCUCCUGGCCCAUUGGCUCCGGCGUAUCGCCAAUGGGGAGGGCAGCCUCUGGCUCAUCAUCAUCCAAAAUAAGUACCUUCGGGGCCAACCUUUAGCUUUCUGCCAACGCUCGGGUGGAUCCCAGUUCUGGCAGGUGGUGGUCCAGCUUCUACUCGUGCUCCGUAUUGGCACGUCUCUCUCUGUGGGCUCCGGGUCCUCGACCCUGUUUUGGUUCGACCGCUGGCUAGGAGACUCCCCCCUAGCCGUCCGCUUCCCGGGCUUAUUUGCCAUUGCGGCUGACCCCCGAAUCUCCAUCGAGACGGCCCUUAUUGACUUAGGGAGUCUCGCCUUCCGGCGCCCCUUUGGCCCCCUUGAGGGCGCCCCUGACUCCAUCUCUUGGCGUCUGGAGCCCUCCGACCGCUUCUCCACGAAAUCUCUUUACGCGGCCACUGCCCCUUCGUUGGCCCUUGAGCCCUAUAGCUUGAUCUGGGACAUUCACCUUCCCCUCAAGAUCAGGAUUUUCUUGUGGCAGUGGAUCCGGGGACGCCUCCCCUCUGGGGUUGAAGUCCGCAAGCGCAAUGGCCCAGGCGACAGGAUGUGUCCCUUGUGCGCCACGGUGGAGGACUCGAACCACAUAUUAUUUUCCUGCUCCACAGCCCAGUUCCUGUGGUCCCGCUUUCGUGAUACGGUCGGCGGACAAUGGUGCAACACCAACUUCCCCGACCUCCUAGCUGAGAUCCACGCCUCACCCCUCGUUGCCGCCAUAUUAGAUGGUUGUGCAUUGGGGUCCUCGCCUGGACGCUUUGAAAGAUUCGCAACAAACUUGUUAUUCAGAAAGUGCCUCUUCGAUGGGCGACUGACGCGAUCUUCAAAAUGUGUGGCUAUUUGCAGCUAUGGCGGCCGCUUAGCCGCCCUCAGGACCGGGACGUCAUCAACACCCUCCUUGCCGACCUUCGAUCGAUGGCCUUCCGCGUGGCACCUCCGCUUCCGCCUCCUCCGCCGGAGCCUGAUCAGGCUUACUGCUCGUGUUGCGGUGUCUGUUUUGAUUUGUGGCCGCCGCUUCUCACCCCCGGCCGGCCGCUUUUGCCCUUUUGAGCAAAUCAGACGAGGACGAGGCUGGGAUUCGGAGAGGACAAGACGCGGGCAAGAUUUGACUUGGGAGCGCCUAAAGUAG